CCUACGGGAGGCAGCAGUGAGGAAUAUUGGUCAAUGGGAGAGAUCCUGAACCAGCUAAGCCGCGUGAGGGAAGACGGCCCUCUGGGUUGUAACCCUCUUUUGUCGGAGCACAAAACCCGGGACGAGUCCCGGACUACGUGUAUCCGAAGCAAAAGCAUCGGAAAACUCCGUGCCGUCAGACGCGGUAAUACGGAGGAUGCGAGCGUUAUCCGGAUUUAGUGGGGUUAAAGGUGGUGCAGGCGGUCUGGUAAGUCAGCUGUAAAAUUGCGGGGCUAAACCCCGUCGAGCCUUUGAAACUGGCAGACUUGAGUUGGCGAGAAGUACGCGGAAUGCGCGGUGUAGCAGUGAAAUGCAUAGAUAUCGCGCAGAACUCCGAUUGCGAAGGCAGCGUACCGGCGCCAGACUGACGCUGAGGCACGAAAGCGUGGGGAUCGAACAGGAUUAGAUACCCUUGUAGUC
rnacentral:rRNA from 1 species